UAGCUGAGGAAAAGAAACCAACAGGGAUUGCCUUAGUAGCGGCGAGUGAAGCGGCAAUAGCUCAAAUUUGAAAUCUGGCACUUUCAGUGUCCGAGUUGUAAUUUGAAGAAGGUAUCUUUGGGUCUAGCUCUUGUCUAUGUUUCUUGGAACAGAACGUCACAGAGGGUGAGAAUCCCGUGCGAUGAGAUGUCUAGAUCUAUGUAAAGUUCCUUCGAAGAGUCGAGUUGUUUGGGAAUGCAGCUCUAAGUGGGUGGUAAAUUCCAUCUAAAGCUAAAUAUUGGCGAGAGACCGAUAGCGAACAAGUACAGUGAUGGAAAGAUGAAAAGAACUUUGAAAAGAGAGUGAAAAAGUACGUGAAAUUGUUGAAAGGGAAGGGCUUGAGAUCAGACUUGGUAUUUUGUAUGUUACUCUCUCGGGGGUGGCCUCUACAGUUUACCGGGCCAGCAUCAGUUUGAGCGGUAGGAGAAUUGCGUAGGAAUGUGGCUCGGCCUCGGUCGAGUGUUAUAGCCUUCGUCGAUACUGCCAGCUUAGACUGAGGACUGCGGCUUCGGCCUAGGAUGUUGGCAUAAUGAUCUUAAGUCGCCCGUCU
rnacentral:rRNA from 1 species